AAAACAAGCUCUCUUUUCAUCUGGCUGUCCUGACUCAAUUGCAAUGAACUCCAUUGUGGGCCACUGCACCGGCCAUCGCGCCCGGCGGCGGUGGCUACCAAAACAUGAAUUGGAGCCACCAAAAAAAUCCUCCAAACACAUUCUACCCUAAUCCGUCGUCGAUUUUGAGAAAUGAUUAUCCUAAGAUCCUAACCGAAACCAAAUGCAUAAAGAAUCCAAGCCACCUAAACCUAAAUUACAUCCUGGAAACGCUGAUUCCAAGCCCCUGGGGUUGGGGAUUUGGCUCUCCUCCUAAAAUCCUACCAUCUUAGCACAAGAAUUGGAAGAAAUCAAAGGAAUAAAGAAUUCACCAUGGCCGAAGAUUUCGCCGAAGUCAGGAUUUGAGAGUGAGAGAGCUUGAGGAGGUUUUAGCACACGCAGGUUUGAAACUCUAAUGGUUUGUUGUAUUGCUGCAUAAUGGAUGGAGAAUGAUGGUGCAGGUUACUAAUCUUGGUUGAUGCAUGAUGCUUGACAAUUCUAGCUUAGCAUUCAGAUGGAAGUAAAACAAGGCAAGCUGGUUGGUUGAUCAAGAUGGAUUGUCGCCUUCAUGCUGCAGAGUUAUUGAACAAGAGAUGAUAUGGCUCUUUGGCUUAUGGUGUAGCAUAAUUGGCAUUAUUUUGGCGCAAGUAGGAUGCAUUCAUAUGGUUCUGCAGUAGGUUUAUUUAACUGCUUGGUGCUGCUAGAUGUUGGAAAGGUUUUAUGAACAUUGCUGCAGGCAUGCUCAGGGCAUUGUGACAUGUUUUAAUGCUAACUUACUCCAUGUUCUGCUAGCUUUGACAGUAAUGACAUGGUUCUGUAAGGUUUUGGAUUAUGCCACAUUCCUGACUUGGUCUUUUUUGCUCGUGUUUCUUGGUAUGCUUGUGGUAUGAUUUUCAAUUCAUGGCAUGUUUUGGUAUGGUUCUCCCUUGGUCAGUGCAGGAUUUUGCUGCAGGUUUACAGGUUUUGGCAAGAUUUUGGUAGGAUGUUUUCUCCUGCUGUAAGACCACUUGAAUUAGAAACAGGUGCGGGCAUGUUAUGCAGUCAGUUCCAAUGGUUUGGAUGUGGUUCUGCAACAUGUUCACAUUGGCAUGAACCUGGCAGGCAUGGUAUGGACAUGAACAUGGUUGGUCAAAGAUAAACUAGCAAAUGAAGAAAUCAUGAUGGAAUCAAGCAAGCAUAAACAAUGGAAGGAUGGAUUAGAUUUUAAGAUGGGAAUUUAGGUUUUUUGGGGACUUUGGUUGACUUUGGUCAAAGUUGACCAAAAAGUCAACUGUUGACCAAAGUCAACAUUUGGUCAACCUUCCUAAUUUUGUAAUUUUUCAUACUUUUGGAUAUUUUAAGACUAUGUAAUGAAUGAACUUGAUAUGUUUUGAAUGAAUUGGAUUGAAAAUGGAUUGAAAGUGGUUUUCAUAUUGUUUUUUA